rnacentral:pre_miRNA from 1 species
AUAACAUUCGGAGCGUCGGUCUACUGAACAAUUUCACGCUCGGUGGAAGAUCUUCUCGCUGUCGU